rnacentral:rRNA from 1 species
UACGUAGGGUGCAAGCGUUGUCCGGAAUUAUUGGGCGUAAAGAGCUCGUAGGCGGUUUGUCGCGUCGAAUGUGAAAACCCGGGGCUCAACCCCGGGCCUGCAUUCGAUACGGGCAGACUAGAGUUCGGUAGGGGAGUCUGGAAUUCCUGGUGUAGCGGUGAAAUGCGCAGAUAUCAGGAGGAACACCGGUGGCGAAGGCGGGACUCUGGGCCGAUACUGACGCUGAGGAGCGAAAGCUAGGGGAGCAAACGGG